AUUGAACGCUGGCGGCAGGCUUAACACAUGCAAGUCGAGCGGGGUGAUGGUGCUUGCACUAUCACUUAGCGGCGGACGGGUGAGUAAUGCUUAGGAAUCUGCCUAUUAGUGGGGGACAACAUCUCGAAAGGGAUGCUAAUACCGCAUACGUCCUACGGGAGAAAGCAGGGGAUCACUUGUGACCUUGCGCUAAUAGAUGAGCCUAAGUCGGAUUAGCUAGUUGGUGGGGUAAAGGCCUACCAAGGCGACGAUCUGUAGCGGGUCUGAGAGGGUGAUCCGCCACACUGGGACUGAGACGCGGCCCAGACUCCUACGGGAGUCAGCAGUGGGGAAUAUUGGACAAUGGGGGGAACCCUGAUCCAGCCAUGCCGCGUGUGUGAAGAAGGCCUUAUGGUUGUAAAGUACUUUCAGCGGGGAGGAAGGCGAUGCGGUUAAUAACCGUGUCGAUUGACGUUACCCGCAGAAGAAGCACCGGCUAACACCGUGCCAGCCGCCGCCGUAA
rnacentral:rRNA from 1 species